rnacentral:rRNA from 1 species
CCUACGGGAGGCAGCAGUGAGGAAUAUUGGUCAAUGGACGCAAGUCUGAACCAGCCAAGCCGCGUGAAGGAAGACUGCCCUAUGAGUUGUAAACUGCUUUUGUACGAGGGUAAACGCAGAUACGCGUAUCUGUCUGAAAGUAUCGUACGAAUAAGGAUCGGCUAACUCCGUGCCAGCAGCCGCGGUAAUACGGAGGAUUCAAGCGUUAUCCGGAUUUAUUGGGUUUAAAGGGUGCGUAGGCGGGCGGAUAAGUUAGAGGUGAAAUCUCGAGGCUCAACUUCGGAAUUGCCUCUGAUACUGGUCGGCUAGAGAGUAGUUGCGGUAGGCGGAAUGUGUGGUGUAGCGGUGAAAUGCUUAGAUAUCAUGCAGAACACCGAUUGCGAAGGCAGCUUACCAAGCUACUACUGACGUUGAUGCACGAAAGUGUGGGUAUCAAACAGGAUUAGAUACCCUGGUAGUC